UAACGUUCACACACCUGAGGAAGAACACUGCAGGCAAGUAAAACACCGCAGUAAAACCGCACACUAGUGAAAUACAGCAUGCAAUAAGAGCAGUCCAAACCAUACACAGGUCAAGACCCUUUCAAACACUUGAGGGCAGUAGAGGGCCCCUUGACAACCAGCGUUCCCGAAAGGGAGCCCGUCACUAAAAUCUACUUUUAAAAAUAGCCUAACUUACAUAACAACAUAGGACAAAAACAAUCUCAACAAGACAACAUAUAACACUAAGCAUUAAAUUAUUUUAAAGUUCGUUAAAGUUUACUUGACUCGCUAAGGAUGGUGUGAGGUGAAGAGUGCAGGAUUGAUGUCAAUAGCCCCGUGAGCACCGGCCACAGCACAACUACUCCCCGGUCUCUCGCUACCUAACGGAGGCACCCAGCCUCCCCUCCUGACACAGGAACGGCUCCCCUACUCAACUAUCUUCGCUGCAUUAAAAGUUGGAGCAGCACCCUCCCGUCCCAGUGCUGCCGACACAGAGCCGGACGAUAACAGUGACGUGUGCUGUGAUGGAGAAAACAGGAGCAGGAGGAGGACCUCACACAACAGACCCCUGUUUUCUGGGACACUGCCAUGGACGGACUGCUCUUGAUUCUCGUUGUUGGACCUGCAGCUGUUCCUCGGUUUCCUUCAGAGCAGCCUGGAGCAUGGCGAUCACUGCUGCUCUGUCUCUGCAGCUCGGCAUUUUUCUCCCCCAUGAUCUGCCUGACUGCAGUGUCUAUGAUUUCCUGUAAAUCACUCAUCCUGAAGAAGACCAUUUUCUCCUCCUCUUUUUUUUUCUUCAUUGUUAACAUGGGGGUCUGAUUUCACCCUCAUUAUCAAACUGAAGACGUUCUCUGUUCCCCUCCUCUGGGAUCAGCAGCUCGGGCUCUGAAGCAAGUGUUUCUUCAAUCUGCUGCUGCAGCUGUUGCAGCUGUUUCUGGGCCUCCUCCAGCUUGGAAGUGAGAUCCACACUGAUUGCAGUUUCCAGACUCAGUCUGGUGGCAGAUCUCACCUGGACUUCCGUCAGUUGACAACGGAGAUCCUGGAUUGUCAUCUCUGCUGCUUCUGUAAUCUGGUUCUGCCUCUGGUGACUUUCAUAAAGUUCAAUUUUAAGGUCAUUGACCAUUUUCAUGUGGGAGUGAAGGCUGUUUUCAGCCAUCAUGUACCAGACCCGAGAAUCAUGCAAUAUGAAUGUCUUUCAAGAAUGACUUAUAAACUCUGUUAUUCACUUGGUUAGCUCACAAUACCACCCACCAAAAUAACCUUUGCUAGCAAAGAUUGCUGUUUACCACACGUACAUCCACAUUUUGAUUUCAAGCUUGUGAUUUGUUAUGAUUUGUAUGUAACAUGUUAAGUCAAUGUCUACACUUGCGUUCAAUUAGCUACUUAAAUAUCUAUAUCUCUUACCCAUAGACCAAAGAGAGAAAGCGUGUUAAUAGAACUUUGUGCACUCUGUUGGGUCAGUGUAUGUCUAACAUUGUGAAAUUGUGAGUAUUUGCCCAGGUGGAAGUACUGGACUGGCUUAGUCAGGCAAUAUCCUUAAAUCUUAGACCUAAGGUCCUGCUCCUUUCAAGUGUUAGCACCUGCAUACUUUUUUAAACCAUGAUGGUGAAUUGAGUUCAAAUAUGUGCCUGUGAUUUUGUGUGCAAUCUCACUCCAGCCAGUUACCCAAAGUUGGUAACCCUGAACUAGAUGAACCACAAAAACCACAGUUUCAGGUGUGUGUGUGUCAGUGUUCUCACAGUCACAGUUAUGACAAUAAUUUUGUUAAAUGCCUGUCACAGCUAAAGGUUUUUUAUUUGGUUGUUUUAUUUGGCCAGAAGUGAAGUGUCAUAAAAAUGUUGUCAAUUGGCUUUGUGCAAAUGCAGCCCAUCUGUACAUCAACAAAAGUAACUACUUACUGAUACAUAAUAAUAAUACAUGUUGUAUGUUUGUUACAGCCAAGAAACAACAGUCUAUUUGAUAUCUGUAUUAUUUUAAUACAUUGCAAAUUUGACGUUAAUACUCUGUCCUUCAGCUGUUUGAUUUGCAGUGUUGAUAGAGAAUUGGAUGUUUCAGGGCCCUGCAGGGCCUUUUCACUGCAACCAAAAAUGAUAUAUUUCAUAUUAAACUUAUCCUAAAAACCUAUGUGAAUACAAGAGCAUGGUGUUUUGGCUCAUACAUAUCCACAAGGAUGCAUUAUAUCAUAUAGCCUUAUGCUCUGUCAUCCCUGCACAUGUGGCGAUCACAGUCUAGACUGUUGUCGUUUGUGGUUCCCCAAUGUUGGAGUAGGCUCCCAGAUGAUUUCAGAACAGGAGUGUCUUUCUCUUAUUCAAGAAUCUCUUUAAAACUCAUCUCUUCCAAAGGCACCUCCACUCCUGACACCUCUAACACAAUAACAUGUCUAACUAGCAUUUACUGUGCACUUUCAGUUUACAACUGAUUUUCUUGCACUUAUUUAUUUCAUUGUCUCCCACCGCACUAAAACUUUAGU